rnacentral:lncRNA from 1 species
CAAUCUGCCACCUGAGACGAGCUGAAUGCCAUUAUUACUCUUCUUAGGCAGCCCCGCCCCUGGAGGGAAAAGUGAGGUAACGGAAAUGACGACACAGCUCCCUGUUAAAUAGCUGUAGGCGGGCCUCUGGCGCUCUCUCCGCCUUAGCGCCAUCUUCUUGGGUGAGUGUUGGGGCUGUUUGUGUUUGUAUUCCGUGCUCAAUCCAUUAACAUCCGAUCUCUGCACUUGCCAUCAUUACACGAAACUAACUGUAGCUUUUUUCUCUUUACCUGUAGAAACCUCUCCGCCAUGAGAGCUAAGGUAAGCAGUCCUUGGCAGUAAGCUGAGGCAGUAGAGAUUAGUGAUGGGGGGGGCGGGGGACAACUAGGCAAGGGAAGUCCGCCAUGGUUCCCGAGCCGCUGGGUUCUCAAGGGUGCCCAAGAGCUAGCGGAAGAGGAAAGGCUAAUUUGGGGAGAAGCAAAAGAGGUGGGUAAGUACUGUGGGCACAAAGGGCGGGAGUAGAAAAGCGCACGCGGGAUUCAUAUCUAUUUUGGCGGGUGAGGGUGGGAGUCCAAAUUAUUGCUGGAUUUACUGUGACUAUACCUACAUAGUUGGUCAAGAACCUGCCAGGUUCUAAAUAAUGCCCUUCACAUCUCUGCCCAGAUCUCUUAUUAAAACUAAUCUCUUGUUUUAUUCUCUGCCUCUGGCUGUGAUGGGUUGCAGUGGAGGAAGAAGCGAAUGCGCAGGUAUGUUGAGACUUGACCGGCCAACAGAGGAAGGGAAAUGUAGCGUGUCUUGGACAAAACUUGGAACGUUUGGUUUAGAAAUCUGAAAGAACUUGAGGUGAAAAUGUUAUAAGCAUUGACUUGCAUAGUCGGGGAUUGAACGCAGGAUAGUAGAAUGAAGUACUUGUCCGUUUUGACACCCCAUGUAUUAGAUGCACAUUUAAGAUGGGAGGGAAAGACUGAACUCGGGUUUGUGGGCAGGAGAUGUAUUCCCGUGUCUGCUUUUCAGGCUGAAGCGUAAAAGAAGAAAGAUGAGGCAGAGGUCCAAGUAAACCGCUAGCUUGUGCACCCAUGGAGCCACAGGAGCAGAAAUAAGGAAAGCCAGAGGCCAGGGACGCUGGUACCAAUUGUUGGACUGCAUGCCUACUUUCUAGAGCUUGAUUCAGUGGAUCUAGAACAUCCAUCGCCAUCUGAUCGCAACGACCACCUUUGAGAGACUCGCCUUGUUCAUAUCAGAAGUCCCUUUUGGUCCGUUGCUCUGGACCUGUGACUUUCGGGACUAAUUCUGUUUUCAUGUGUGGCUGAAUGUAACAACGUAUACAAUAAAUCUUCUCUUCUGCUGUCUUAGCUGAAGAAAAAAAUGGUUU